AUGAGUUCACGAGGCGACCAGUCUCGCCGGAUCGACAUGGAACUGGACGCGCCCCUGUUCGCGCAUGACCGGCCGCCCGCGCUCUGCUCGUCCGCCGGCGAGGAGGACCGCCUCGACGCACUCCCCGACGACGUGCUCCGCCUCGUGAUCCGCCGCCUCGACACCCGCUCUGCGCUCGGCACGGCCGCGCUCUCCAAGCGUUGGGCCCUCCUCCUACGCGAGCUCCCUGCGCUCGAGUUUAAGGUCCGCAACGCCCUCCCGGAGCGCUACCGUCGGUACUUCCGGCGCCAUAUCCGCGCCCUGAACCGCCGCGCCUAUAUUGAACUCAAGAAGGUCGACCUCGUCCUAGGCCGAUACGAGCGCCGCGCCAUGCGCUCGUUGGCCGACUCACUCGGCGGCUUCCUGGACACAGACGACGGCGCCGAGCCUUGCCGGCACGUGCACAGGGUGAGCCUUGAGAUUUUCCCCACCCACAACCGUGGAACCUUGAAUCGCCUCAUUGCCACGGCCGUUGGCCGCCGGGGAGUAGAAGACCUUGAGAUCGUCGUCCUCAACUCCGAUGGACGUCACCGCGCCCCGAGCUACAGCUUCCCCCACCGUUACUUGGACAUCCAUUUACCCAACUGCGGCGGCGGCGUGAAGCUGAAGAGGCUAAAGCUCACAAACUGCACCCCGCACGUCUUCAGAUUGGACGCAAACCCGUCGCCAGCUCCGGCACACGCGUUCAGCGCGCUCACCAUGCUCGUCUUGCAAGACAUGCCGAGGUCCACGCGCGGCCGCAUAUACCAGUCUGUCAUCCGGGCAUGCCCAGCGCUGGAGGUGCUGCACCUAAGGUCAUGUGGUUGUGAGUGCGACGGGAGGUCCUUCACCAUAGACGCGCCCGGCUCGCGGAUCACAGAGCUGUUCCUCGAGCUCACCAGCCUCACGCUCAGAGUGAUCGAUCUGCGCGCCUUGCCGAGGCUUGAGAGGCUGGCAUGUAUGGGCGCUCCCCUCGAGCUCAAGUUCGGCUCGGUGCCGCGCUUGGCGCGCCUCAGCCUCAGCCACGACGAGGACGCUGACGCCAUAACUCCGGAGUUCGUGUUGCAUGGCGUACGGAAAAUGCACCCUCUCAGCAGAUUCUUGAGCGGCCUCACGAGCUUAGAGGACCUCGUCCUCCGGUUCACCGGGCCAGACAUGUGGAUCUUACGGUCUCUCGGCGACAUGCCGCCAUUGGGCAAGCUGAAGAGGUUGCUCGUGGCGGACAUGCCAUCAUCGUGGGACAUCACGUGGACGCGCUACAUCCUCGAGGCCGCGCCUUUCCUCGAGAUGAUGCACAUUCACAUCGAUGGCGAUGACUCUGGCACCGGGGUCGUGACCGGUAAGCUGAUCCGGUGGGCGCCGUCGCUGAAGUUCAAGCACUCCCGGCUAGGAGAGGUGGUGGUAGGUGGCUUCGAGGGGACGCCGAGGCAGGUGCACUUCGUGAGGUUCCUCACGCGCGUGUGCACAGCGCUGCGAGACGUCGUGCUUCUCAGGCAUGGUCAUGUACCGAACAAGGGGCUCUGGGAUUGGGAGACGGUGGCGCCACGGCCGGAGUGGCAAUGGAGCGACGAGGAUAGAGACGGGAUGCUGAGAGAGAUCGAGGAUGGUGGGAGAGGGACUAGCGCUUCUUCUUGCUCGACAACUCGAAUAGUUUUUGGCUGA
rnacentral:rRNA from 1 species